rnacentral:misc_RNA from 1 species
UUCCUGAGUUUCCCAUCGUUCGGGGCAUUCUGGGGCUGUUUUGGCUAUUGGUUGCUUGUUCGGUCUUGAGCCGAACGGGGGGCUUCUAGUCGGGUGGCUUCGGGGAUGUUGUCCGUAAAGGUGGAUGAGUGGACCCUUCCUGACGACCCUUCCUGAUGACGGUUUACAUUCGUGACUUUCCCAUCGUUCGGGGCAUUCUGGGGCUGUUUUGGCUAUUGGUUGCUUGUUCGGUCUUGAGCCGAACGGGGGGCUUCUAGUCGGGUGGCUUCGGGGAUGUUGUCCGUAAAGGUGGAUGAGUGGUGUUUGGUUUGUUACGUGUGGUUGGCUGCGGCGUUUGCAACAACUUCCAUGCUCUCAGACCUCUUCAGUUGUGCGGCAAGGCUUGUAUCGCCUUGAGCGUAUCGUGGGUUUUCUGUGUUGGCUACCUAAUCGACGGUAUCGUUUGGAUUGAUCAAAGUGUGAUUUCGUCUUCCGUCGCGUUCGCGGCGUGAGGUGAACCUUGACGCGGUCUCUUUGAUCCAUCUCGUCGAAGCACAUGCUUUGACGUUGUGGCACAUUGAGCAUUGCUUGGUCUCAUGUGUACGGAACACGUAGCGGGCAUGGAUCUAACGAUUCUUGUUUGCCCUCAUAUNAGCGUAACGCUUCUCAAACACGACUUGCANCGCGUUUUAG